CACCAUUUUAAAUUUUUGAAAGCUUUUGAAAGCGCUCUUAUCCAAUUUAUCGCAUGGCAUUUUCGAUGUUUUCUAAGAUUAUUUUUCUGGUUUUGGAAUUCUGUGGAUGUAGCUGCUAAUCAUGUCUCAGAAUUCCAUACGACACUCGGACGCGGAAAGGCGCGCCGCGGUGGAGAAGCUUGCGGACUGUGUGAAACAGUUUUUGCUGUGUGAUGACAUGAGUGAUGUGCAGUUCGCAGUGGGACACGAGCAUGGCGCCGCAAAAAUUUUUCCUGCACACAGGUUCAUUAUGGGCGUCCGUAGCGCAGUGUUCCAUAGGAUGUUCUACGGAAGUCUUCCCCAAACCUGCACAGCUCCUAUUGACAUUCCCGACAUUUAUCCGGAAGCCUUCGCGAAUAUGCUGCGGUUCAUGUACACCGACACGGUGGCGGGUUUCACCCCGGACAACGUCUUCGACACGCUAAUCUGCGCUGACAAGUACGAGCUGCCGUUGCUGGUUGUCAUGUGCACCGACUUCAUCCUGGACAUGCUCAACACCAACAACUGCCUGCAUAUUCUGGACAGAGCGGUUCGGUAUGCGAAUGCUCCGCCCACCAUCCUCGAGAAGUGUCUAUGCCUUGUUGAUGAGUCGGCGUUGAUUGUUUGGCAGUCGGAUCAGUUUUGUGCCAUCGGCUUAGAGGCACUGCGGUCCAUUCUCCGGCGGGACACUUUGACAGCCAACGAAGAGACCAUUUGCUCGUCGGCUGACAAGUGGGCGGAAAUAAACUGCACUCGACACAAUAUUGAUGCUUCCUCCAUAAAUCGGCGCGAAAUGUUGGGGCAAACACUGUUUCUCGUUCGCUUUCCUCUUUUAACGGAUACACAGCUGCUGGAUGGGCCCGAAAAGACUGGUUUGUUGCUGCAAUCGGAGGUACUGGACAUCUACCGCUACAAACACGCCACCAUUAAACCGCAGCUGCCGUUCCCUACGGAUCCCCGUCAAAAUGGACGCGCUGAAGGUACCAUUAAUUUCACGGUUCCGGAUGUGCGAAAACUGUAUGACUCGGCUACGAUCAGCGAUCCUAUCACCGUCCGAAAGCUGCUUUGGAGUAUCAGCGUUACAAAGGACAUUGAUGGCCCGUUUCCGGCGCUGGGCUUCUACCUGCGUUGCAGGAGCUAUCCGAAAUCGACUCCCUGGACGUGUCAGGUUAAUGCAGAACUGCGCUUACUGCCAUGGAACGCGAAAACUGCGCCAAUUAAGAGAAAGUUGUCCCACUUGUUCGACAUGGAUACGUGUAAAAGCAGUUGGGGAUACUCAUUCAUCUCUAUGCAGGUGAGAUUGUUUCUGCGAGAAAAUCCUUGGGUACGCGGGUAUUACUCGUACAGCACGAAGUUCAAUUCAGUUUUUCUCUCACUUGGCUUACUUUUACGUUUAAGUUUACAUAUUUUGCUCACUACGUGUCUGAAUUUCCUGACAAAUAAACUAACAGAAACAAAAACUCUUCACAGCAGAAACUUCCCCUAUCCUUCUGAAGAAUAAACAUCAAUAAAUUUCCAUAAAAACACAAAGGGAACAGUGUAGCAAGUCACAAGUGUACCGGGCGGCGGGCGCAACGGGGAAGAACGGAUCGUCAACGCAUUCUGCAUAGGCACUUCGGCAAUUUUAGAUUUCAAUAAAUUCCAUUUAUUCCAUCAAUACAGAGCAGCGAAAAAAGUCAGAAGGCAAGUCGUGCGACUUACGAUCAGCAGUCACUCAUCCAGCAUGCCGCUUGGGGGGGUGGUGCUGGGAUCGGGGAACAACAUAUGGCACCAUACACUUUAAAGUUAAAACAAUUGUUGGAUCUGGAGAGUGGCUACAUCAAUCCUGCUGACUUCUCCUUGAGACUGCAAAUCCAAAUGACUGCUGACCUUCCUGUCGGAUUAGACUGAAUGCGGAGCGCGUCUAGAUGUCAGGGAUGCUCGUAAAGGAUUAUGAAAUUGUCUUUGAAAUGGUUUCAGGUUCCUCGUGUUUUCGGAAAUGGGCCAUGGCGUACCAUUGUCGUGUGUUUGACUAAUUUAGUACUAAUUCCUUUUGGUUGGUUUUUCGUUUGUGGUAAAUUGAUCCGGUUGUAUGUUCUUAUAUAUACCAAUUAGUGUGGAGGUGUAUAACAACAACCCGG